rnacentral:rRNA from 1 species
AUUAAAUGGCCGCAGUAUAUUAACUGUGCAAAGGUAGCAUAAUCAUUAGUCUUUUAAUUGGAGGCUAGUAUGAAUGGUUGAACGAAAUAUUAACUGUUUCAUAUAAAUUUAAUAUAGAAUUUUAUUUUUUAGUCAAAAAGCUAAAAUUUAUUUAAAAGACGAGAAGACCCUAUAAAUCUUUAUAUUAAGUAUAUUAUAAUUUUAUAGAUUUUUUUUAUUAUAAUUUAUUAUAAUAUUUUAUUGGGGUGAUAUUAAAAUUUAAAAAAUUUUUAAUUUUUAUUUUCAUUAAUUUAUGAAUAAUUGAUCCAUUAAUAGUGAUUAAAAAAUCAAGUUACUUUAGGGAUAACAGCGUAAUUUUUUUGGAGAGUUCAUAUCGAUAAAAAAGAUUGCGACCUCGAUGUUGGAUUAAGAUAUAAUUUUAGGUGUAGAAGCUUAAAUUUUAAGUC